AAGGUCUGGAAAUAACUGGGAAAGAAAAGCCUUGUUUCAGAACAUUCUCCAGGUUUGUUUCCUUCUUGCACCCAGUAAAAGAAUGUGGAUCUUCCCUCAAAUAAGUAGAGUUCUUGAGGCUGGGAAGUCCAAGAUCAAGAUACUGGAAGUUCUAGUAUCUGGGAAAACAUGCUGCUUCUUCAAAGACUCCAAUUUCAGAUGGCAAAAUGCAUGGAAGCUGAGAUGGACCUUCUGGAGUUUUCGAUAAACCACUGUAGCUCAGUCAGAGGUUCAAUUAUGAUGAUACCCACACAAGCCCGGUCCUCCCACAGCCUACAUCCAAUCCUCUGAGGAAGCUGAGUGGCACUGCCUUUAUUCACCACAGAUGCUACAGAA
rnacentral:lncRNA from 1 species